rnacentral:lncRNA from 1 species
CCCGAGGCCCCUCGCAAAGUCUCGCCCCAUUCCGAGUCCGGCGGACGAACUUCGCCCGCGCCCCCCACCAAGGCUAUAGCCCACCCGUUUUUUGGCCAUUUUUCCGCUGGGGGGUUUUGGCACCACGACCUUCGGGUGCUUAUUUUUGGACGCGGCUGUGCCCGCAACUUCCCGUGGGCACCCCGAGGCCCCUCGCAAAGUCUCGCCCCAUUCUGAGUCCGGCGGACGAACUUCGCCCGCGCCCCCCACCAAGGCUAUAGCCCACCCGUUUUUUGGCCAUUUUUCCGCUGGGGGGUUUUGGCACCACGACCUACGGGCGCUUAUUUUUGGGCGCGGCUUUGCCCGCGGCUUAUUUUUGGUGCCCCGAGGCCCUGCGCAAAGUCUCGCCCCAUUCCGAGUCCGGCGGACGAACUUCGCCCGCGCCCCCCACCAAGGCUAUAGCCCACCCGUUUUUUGGCCAUUUUUCCGCUGGGGGGUUUUGGCACCACGACCAUCGGGCGCUUAUUUUUGGGCGCGGCUUUGCCCGCGGCUUAUUUUUGGCACCCUGAGGCCCCUCGCAAAGUCUCGCCCCAUUCCGAGUCCGGCGGACGAACUUCGCCCGCGCCCCCCACCAAGGCUAUAGCCCACCCGUUUUUUGGCCAUUUUUCCGCUGGGGGGUUUUGGCACCACGACCUUCGGGUGCUUAUUUUUGGACGCGGCUGUGCCCGCGACUUGCCGCGGGCACCCCGAGGCCCCUCGCAGAGUCUCGCCCCAUUCCGAGUCCGGCGGACGAACUUCGCCCGCGCCCCCCACCAAGGCUAUAGCCCACCCGUUUUUUGGCCAUUUUUCCACUGGGGGGUUUUGGCACCACGACCUUCGGGUGCUUAUUUUUGGACGCGGCUGUGCCCGUGACUUCCCGCGGGCACCCCGAGGCCCCUCGCAAAGUCUCGCCCCAUUCCGAGUCCGGCGGACGAACAUCGCCCGCGCCCCCCACCAAGGCUAUAGCCCACCCGUUUUUUGGCCAUUUUUCCGCUGGGGGGUUUUGACACCACGACCUUCGGGCGCUUAUAUUUGGACGCGGCUGUGCCCGUGACUUCCCGCGGGCACCCCGAGGCCCCUCGCAUAAAGCGCCCCAUUCCGAGUCCGGCGGACGUACUUCGCCCGCGCCCCCCACCAAGGCUAUAGCCCACCCGUUUUUUGGCCAUUUUUCCGCUGGGGGGUUUUGGCACCACGACCUUCGGGCGCUUAUUUUUGGGCGCGGCUGUGCCCGCGACUUGCCGCGGGCACCCCGAGGCCCCUCGCAAAGUCUCGCCCCAUUCCGAGUCCGGCGGCCGAACUUCGCCCGCGCCCCCCACCAAGGCUAUAGCCCACCCGUUUUUUGGCUAUUUUUCCGCUGGGGGGUUUUGGCACCACGACCUUCGGGCGCUUAUUUUUGGAUGCGGCUGUGCCCGCGACUUUCCGUGGGCACCUCGAGGCCCCUCGCAAAGUAUCGCCCCAUUCCGAGUCCGGCGGACGAACAUCGCCCACGCCCCCCACCAAGGCUAUAGCCCACCCGUUUUUUGGCCAUUUCUCCGCUGGGGGGUUUUGGCACCACGACCUUCGGGUGCUUAUUUUUGGACGCGGCUGUGCCCGCGACUUCCUACGGGCACCCCGAGGCCCCUCGCAAAGUCUCGCCCCAUUCCGAGUCCGGCGGACGAAAUUCGCCCGCGCCCCCCACCAAGGCUAUAGCCCACCCGUUUUUUGGCCAUUUUUCCGCUGGGGGGUUUUGGCACCACGACCUUCGGGCGCUUAUUUUUGGGCUCGGCUUUGCCCGUGGCUUAUUUUUGGCAGCCCGAGGCCCCUCGCAAAGUCUCGCCCCAUUCCGAGUCCGGCGGACGAACUUCGCCCGCGCCCCCCACCAAGGCUAUAGCCCACCCGUUUUUUGGCCAUUUUUCCGCUGGGGGGUUUUGGCACCACGACCUUCAGGCGCUUAUUUUUAGGCGCGGCUGUGCCCGCGACUUGCCGCGGGCACCCCGAGGCCCCUCGCAAAGUCUCGCCCAAUUCCGAGUCCGGCGGACGAACUUCGCCCGCGCCCCCCACCAAGGCUAUACCCCACCCGUUUUUUGGCCAUUUUUCCGCUGGGGGGUUUUGGCACCACGACCUUCGGGCGCUUAUUUUUGGGCGCGGCUGUGCCCGCGACUUGCCGCGGGCACCCCGAGGCCCCUCGCAAAGUCUCGCCCCAUUCCGAGUCCGGCGGACGAACUUCACCCGCGCCCCCCACCAAGGCUAUAGCCCACCCGUUUUUUGGCCAUUUUUCCGCUGGGGGGUUUUGGCACCACGACCUUCGGGCGCUUAUUUUUGGGCGCGGCUGUGCCCGCGACUUGCCGCGGGCACCCCGAGGCCCCUCGCAAAGUCUCGCCCCAUUCCGAGUCCGGCGGACGAACUUCACCCGCGCCCCCCACCAAGGCUAUAGCCCACCCGUUUUUUGGCCAUUUUUCCGCUGGGGGGUUUGGCACCACGACCUUCGGGCGCUUAUUUUUGGGCACGGCUGUGCCCGCGNNNNNNNNNNNNNNNNNNNNNNNNNNNNNNNNNNNNNNNNNNNNNNNNNNNNNNNNNNNNNNNNNNNNNNNNNNNNNNNNNNNNNNNNNNNNNNNNNNNNNNNNNNNNNNNNNNNNNNNNNNNNNNNNNNNNNNNNNNNNNNNNNNNNNNNNNCUUAUUUUUGGAUGAGACUGUGCCCGCGACUUUCCGCGGGCACCUCGAGGCCCCUCGCAAAGUAUCGCCCCAUUCCGAGUCCGGCGGACGAACUUCGCCCGCGCCCCCCACCAAGGCUAUAGCCCACCCGUUUUUUGGCCAUUUCUCCGCUGGGGGGUUUUGGCCCCACGACCUUCGGGCGCUUAUUUUUGGACGCGGCUGUGCCCGCGACUUCCCACGGGCACCCCGAGGCCCCUCGCAAAGUCUCGCCCCAUUCCGAGUCCGGCGGACGAAAUUCGCCCGCGCCCCCCACCAAGGCUAUAGCCCACCCGUUUUUUGGCCAUUUUUCCGCUGGGGGGUUUUGGCACCACGACCUUCGGGCGCUUAUUUUUGGGCGCGGCUUUGCCUGUGGCUUAUUUUUGGCAGCCCGAGGCCCCUCGCAAAGUCUCGCCCCAUUCCGAGUCCGGCGGACGAACUUCGCCCGCGCCCCCCACCAAGGCUAUAGCCCACCCGUUUUUUGGCCAUUUUUCCGCUGGGGGGUUUUGGCACCACGACCUUCAGGCGCUUAUUUUUGGACGCGUUAUGCCCGCGACUUCCCGCGGGCACCCCGAGGCCCCUCGCAAAGUCUCCCCCAUUCCGAGUCCGGCGGACGAACUUCGCCCGCGCCCCCCACCAAGGCUAUAGCCCACCCGUUUUUUGGCCAUUUUUCCGCUGGGGGGUUUUGGCACCACGACCUUCGGGAGGUUAUUUUUGGGCGCGGCUGUGCCCGCGACUUGCCGCGGGCACCCCGAGGCCCCCCGCAAAGUCUCGCCCCAUUCCGAGUCCGGCGGACGAACUUCGCCCGCGCCCCCCACCAAGGCUAUAGCCCACCCGUUUUUUGGCCAUUUUUCCGCUGGGGGGUUUUGGCACCACGACCUUAG